UCGAAUCAAAACAUGGCAUCACCUAUAUCGACCCUAUAGAUGUUUCCAUGCUCUUUGAAACUAUGAUCAUGCCGUUGGCCCUACCCUAUUAUCACCACCUACUCUACUAUAUGUAUGUGGGGAAAUUAUCUGCACAUCCACCGAUAUUCAUCAUAAGUGGAAAAUUACGAUAAUUGAAUAUGACGUCUGUAAUUAUUUUACUGAUCGAAGCUUUUUUUGACAAUAGAAUUUAUACUAAUGCAGAAAUCUGCAACUAUUUUUAGUAACCAGAAUAAAAAGUUGCGCCAUUGUGUGUGUGGGUCACUGUACA